rnacentral:rRNA from 1 species
UACAGAGGUCCCAAGCGUUGUUCGGAUUCACUGGGCGUAAAGGGUGCGUAGGUGGCUAGGUAAGUUUGAUGUGAAAUCUCCGAGCUUAACUCGGAAACUGCAUUGAAUACUAUCUUGCUUGAGGGUUGGAGGGGGGACUGGAAUUCUCGGUGUAGCAGUGAAAUGCGUAGAUAUCGAGAGGAACACCAGUGGCGAAGGCGAGUCCCUGGACAACAACUGACACUGAGGCACGAAAGCUAGGGGAGCAAACAGG